rnacentral:rRNA from 1 species
UACAGGGGGUGCAAACGUUGCUCGGAAUUAUUGGGCGUAAAGCGCGCGUAGGCGGCCGCUUAAGUCGGAUGUGAAAGCCCCUGGCUCAACUGGGGAAGUGCACCCGAAACUGAGUGGCUUGAGUACUAAAGAGGGUCGCGGAGUUCCCGGUGUAGAGGUGAAAUUCGUAGAUAUCGGGAGGAACACCGGUGGCGAAGGCGGCGACCUGGGUAGAUACUGACGCUGAGGCGCGAAAGUGUGGGGAGCAAACAGG